UGGCAAAGCACCAGGACUAGCAAAAUUAGGAUGCUGUUCCCACCUCUCAGCCUGACUGGCAAGGGAGAAAUUAUUGGAAUUCAAGAGCCAUAUAGCCCAGGAAGAGGGGCCACUCACGGAUGCUGUGGCCUUAGAUGUAGAAAUACAGCCACUGUCAAACCACAGCCUGGCAGGAGGGACCCCGGGGAAUAAAUAUUGAUUUCUCUCUCUUCCCACCUUCUGAUCGCCUGCAAGUGCCUCCUGUUGGUCCACCCUACUGGAAGUCUGAGCUGGGCAGAGAAGCACCAAAAGUGGAGCUGGAGGAGCAAACAGAAUAUCCAGCACACUGCAGAAAGCUGAGAUUGGUAUUCUUCUACCGCAUGGCUACUCCUGCCACCAAGGGGAACACAGAGUAAAGUGACAACACUAAUUCAGGCUCCAUCAUGGUGACCAGGGAUUAGAAAAUAACCGCAAAGAGGCUCUGGAGAAUUUGGGAAGG
rnacentral:lncRNA from 1 species